AGUGAACGCUGGCGGUAGGCCUAACACAUGCAAGUCGAACGGCAGCACAGUAAGAGCUUGCUCUUACGGGUGGCGAGUGGCGGACGGGUGAGGGAUACAUCGGAAUCUACUUUUUCGUGGGGGAUAACGUAGGGAAACUUACGCUAAUACCGCAUACGACCUACGGGUGAAAGCAGUGGAUCUUCGGACCUUGCGCGAUUGAAUGAGCCGAUGUCGGAUUAGCUAGUUGGCGGGGUAAAGGCCCACCAAGGCGACGAUCCGUAGCUGGUCUGAGAGGAUGAUAAGCCACACUGGAGCUGAGACACGGUCCAGACUCCUACGGGAGGCAGCAGUGGGGAAUAUUGGACAAUGGGCGCAAGCCUGAUCCAGCCAGACCGCGUGGGUGAAGAAGGCCUUCGGGUUGUAAAGCCCUUUUGUUGGGAAAGAAAAGCAGCAGGUUAAUACCCCGCUGUUCUGACGGUACCCAAAGAAUAAGCACCGGCUAACUUCGUG
rnacentral:rRNA from 1 species